GAAAUGCGAUAAGUAAUGUGAAUUGCAGAAUUCAGUGAAUCAUCGAAUCUUUGAACGCACCUUGCGCCCCUUGGUAUUCCGAGGGGCAUGCCUGUUUGAGUGUCAUGGUAUUCUCAAUACCCUAAAUCUUUGCGGAUGAGGGUGUAUUGGAUUUGGAGGUUUUUGCAGGCAAUAUUCAUUGUCAGCUCCUCUUAAAUACAUUAGCAGAGAUAUUACUGCUACUCUCCAGUGUGAUAAUUGUCUACACUGUUAGUAGUGCGGUAUAAUCAAAGUCUUUGCUUCUAAUCGUCUUCGGACAAUUCUUUGACAUCUGACCUCAAAUCAGGUAGGACUACCCGCUGAACUUAA
rnacentral:misc_RNA from 1 species